rnacentral:rRNA from 1 species
GAUGAACGCUGGCGGCGUGCCUAAUACAUGCAAGUCGAACGCAUAGCGAAAGGUGCUUGCACCUUUCAAGUGAGUGGCGAACGGGUGAGUAACACGUGGACAACCUGCCUCAAGGCUGGGGAUAACAUUUGGAAACAGAUGCUAAUACCGAAUAAAACUUAGUGUCGCAUGACACAAAGUUAAAAGGCGCUCCGGCGUCACCUAGAGAUGGAUCCGCGGUGCAUUAGUUAGUUGGUGGGGUAAAGGCCUACCAAGACAAUGAUGCAUAGCCGAGUUGAGAGACUGAUCGGCCACAUUGGGACUGAGACACGGCCCAAACUCCUACGGGAGGCUGCAGUAGGGAAUCUUCCACAAUGGGCGAAAGCCUGAUGGAGCAACGCCGCGUGUGUGAUGAAGGCUUUCGGGUCGUAAAGCACUGUUGUAUGGGAAGAACAGCUAGAAUAGGAAAUGAUUUUAGUUUGACGGUACCAUACCAGAAAGGGACGGCUAAAUACGU